GUAGGUGGCAAGCGUUGUCCGGAAUUAUUGGGCGUAAAGCGCGCGCAGGGCGGUCCUUUAAGUCUGAUGUGAAAGCCCACGGCUCAACCGUGGAGGGUCAUUGGAAACUGGGGGACUUGAGUACAGAAGAGGAAAGCGGAAUUCCAAGUGUAGCGGUGAAAUGCGUAGAGAUUUGGAGGAACACCAGUGGCGAAGGCGGCUUUCUGGUCUGUAACUGACGCUGAGGCGCGAAAGCGUGGGGAGCAAACAGGAUUAGAUACCCUGGUAGACCACGCCGUAAACGAUGAGUGCUAAGUGUUAGGGGGUUUCCGCCCCUUAGUGCUGCAGCUAACGCAUUAAGCACUCCGCCUGGGGAGUACGGCCGCAAGGCUG
rnacentral:rRNA from 1 species